rnacentral:rRNA from 1 species
AUGUUCAAGCUGGUGUCUAGAAAUACCAUUAGGCAGGACAUUAAAAAUAUGUUUGGUGUCCAAAAGAAUAGCAUGGUGAAGUACUUUGCAAAGUUUGAGAACCGAGUAGCCAUCACAACAGAUUUGUGGACGGCUGGCCAUCAAAAGAGGGGCUAUAUGGCUGUAACUGCACAUUAUAUUGAUGCUUCUUGGAACCUAAAGAGAUUCCUAAUGAGGUUUGUGUAUGUUCCAUGUCCACACAAUGCUGAAGUUAUAUGUGAAGCACUACAUGCAUGUCUUGUUGAGUGGCACCUUGAGAAUAAGAUAUCCACGGUGACCUUGGACAAUUGUACAUCAAAUGAUAAGGCUAUCGAAAUUAUGCCAGAUAAGUUGGACACCUCUUCUCUUAUGUUAAAAGGAUCUUUGAUGCAUAUGCAUUGUGCUUCUCAUAUAUUAAAUCUAAUUGUAAAAGAUGGAUUGGGUGUCAUGGAGAAAAGGAUUGAGAGGGUAUGA